rnacentral:pre_miRNA from 1 species
UUACCAGUGUGCACAUUUAACAUUAUUGUUAAAUGUGCCAACUGGUAAUG